rnacentral:rRNA from 1 species
UACGGGGGGGGGUAAGCGUUGUUCGGAAUUACUGGGCGUAAAAGGGCUCGUAGGCGGCCAACUAAGUCAGACGUGAAAUCCCUCAGCUUAACUGGGGAACUGCGUCUGAUACUGGAUGGCUUGGAUUUGGGAGAGGAAUGCGGAAUUCCAGGUGUAGCGGUGAAAUGCGUAGAUAUCUGGAGGAACACCGGUGGCGAAGGCGGCAUUCUGGACCAAUAUUGACGCUGAGGAGCGAAAGCCAGGGGAGCAAACGGG